rnacentral:rRNA from 1 species
UACGGCCACGUCACGUUGAAAAACCAGUUCCCGUACGAUCACCGAAGUUAAGCAAUGAUGAGCUUGGUCAGUAUCUAGAGGGAUGACCGCUUGCGAAUAACAGGUGCUGUAAG